UUUCUGACUGCUGGCCUUGGUGGGUCUUAUUUUCCAACAAUGCACCUCUCUAUCCACAGCUCUGCUCUACCAUCUCUCCACCAAGCCCUUGAAGAAGCCUCCCCAGCUGAAUCAUUAUGCUUUUUACUUUCCAGCAUGGAAUUAACUAUAACUUGCUCCUUUAAACUUGUAUCAGUCACUUUCAAAUCUCCAACUUUGCUAGCGUUGAGAACAAGUAAAAAAGUGGUUGGAAGGAAGGCCAGAAGAUGGAGUGCCUCUCAGGGACUGGGCUUGGGAAUGGAGAGAAGAGGGCUGAAGUCAGACAGAGCUCCAGCUCCUCCUUGGCGGCUGUCAGUCUUCCCAGCACCAGGCAGCAGUCGGCACGUUUGCUCCUGCCAGCUGAUCUCCCAUCAAGGGAGAGAGCUGUUAGAGUGAAGCCCCUUCAACAAAGCUGCACUCAGAGGGGUUUGUGUGAGGAUGAGACACACGAUUGAGCAGAACCGUGUCUUGGCAUUAGAACAUUCAAAUGCCCAGUUCAUUAAAGUGUUAACUGUGACAUUGCAGGGAUACAAUUCCUUUAGGCUCCCCUUCUACAUGAUAAAGAAGACCAAGGUGUACCCAACGGGGUCAUUCACAACCUGCUUUCCAUGGAGGGUAGUCUUCAUUCCAUAACUCUCAAUUUGCACAGCAAGCCACAGUUAUCUACGGAAACCUUUCUUGUGUUAGAGUUACAUUUUGUUGUAAGUUAAUUUGUUUGCAACAAAAUGAAUCAACUAUGUGGAGUACAAUGGACUGUCAAUCAUGAAAACAAUCAUGAAAUGUCAGAAAUAAUCACAUUUUUAACUGUAUUAAAACUUUUCUG
rnacentral:lncRNA from 1 species